rnacentral:rRNA from 1 species
CCAGCAGCCGCGGUAAUUCCAGCUUCAAUAGCGUAUAUUAACAUUGUUGCAGUUGAAAAGCUCGUAGUUGAAUUUCUGACGGGUCUGACCGGGCCUUUGGGUGAAUGCUCAUUGUAUGCUUUAGUGUCGGACUAGUCAUUUUUGUAAAAUACUAUGUGUUUUACAUCAUUUACUGUAAAUAAAAUAGAGUGAUUCAAGCACUUUGUCAGGAAGAGAAUAUACUAUUAUGGAAUAAUAAGAUAGGACUUUGAUGCUAUUUUGUUGGUUUGCACAUCAAGGUAAUGAUUAAUAGGGAUGGUUGGGGGUAUUCGUAUUUAAAUGUCAGAGGUGAAAUUCUUGGAUUUUUUAAAGACGAACGACUGC